rnacentral:tmRNA from 1 species
GGUCUUUUCGCGGCCCGUCCCCUCGCCUAUAUUGGUCUCGUCCCCCGCAAGGGGGUCUAUGGCGAUAAACGAACGGUGUAAUAAACCUAUCGGACCCGGGGGCAGUACCCGGCGCCUCCACCCGAGCCCAUCGAGCCCGUCUCGGUGGGCUCCGGCGGGGGCGAACCAGGAUCGACGAGGGUGUAAAGAUCGCUUCUUCGCCCGGCAUGAUACCGCCGUCAUCGGGUCAAAUUUAUAGUUGCCAACGACAACUAUGCUCCGGUUGCCGUGGCCGCGUGAGCGGUUACGUACUCCGGUAACAAGUCCUGACGUGUAGCAGCGUUUAGGCGGGGUUCGGGGGCACCUGGCAACAGAAGCCCUCACU